CAAGCGGUGGAGCAUAUGGCUUAAUUCGAUGCAACGCGAAGAACCUUACCAGGGCUUGACAUGCACCUGCAAUCUCCCGAAACGGAGCCGCCUUCGAGGGUGGUGCACAGGUGGUGCAUGGCUGUCGUCAGCUCGUGUUGUGAAAUGUUGGGUUAAGUCCCGCAACGAGCGCAACUCUCAUGUUUUGUUACCAGCGGAUAAUGCCGGGGACUCGAGACAAACUGCCUCUGUAAGGAGGAGGAAGGUGGGAACGACGUCAAGUCAUCAUGCCCCUUACGCCCUGGGCUGCACAUAUGCUACAAUGGCGUCGACAAAGGGUUGCUAUCCCGCGAGGGCUUGCUAAUCUCAAAAACGACGUCUCAGUUCGGAUUGGAGUCUGCAACUCGACUCCAUGAAGUUGGAAUCGCUAGUAACCGCAGGUCAGCAAUACUGCGGUGAAUACGUUCCCGGGCCUUGCACACACC
rnacentral:rRNA from 1 species